rnacentral:misc_RNA from 1 species
UACAGAGGUCCCAAGCGUUGUUCGGAUCCACUGGGCGUAAAGGGUGCGUAGGCGGUGGCGAAAGUCUGAUGUGAAAGCUCGGAGCUCAACUCCGAAAUGGCAUUGGAAACUACGUCGCUAGAGGCUUGGAGGGGGGACUGGAAUACUUGGUGUAGCAGUGAAAUGCGUAGAUAUCAAGUGGAACACCUGUGGCGAAGGCGAGUCCCUGGACAAGACCUGACGCUGAGGCACGAAAGCUAGGGGAGCAAACAGG